rnacentral:rRNA from 1 species
AUGAACGCUGGCGGCGUGCCUAAUACAUGCAAGUCGAGCGAACAGACGAGGAGCUUGCUCCUCUGACGUUAGCGGCGGACGGGUGAGUAACCCGUGGAUAACCUACCUAUAAGACUGGGAUAACUUCGGGAAACCGGAGCUAAUACCGGAUAAUAUAUUGAACCGCAUGGUUCAAUAGUGAAAGACGGUUUUGCUGUCACUUAUAGAUGGAUCCGCGCCGCAUUAGCUAGUUGGUAAGGUAACGGCUUACCAAGGCAACGAUGCGUAGCCGACCUGAGAGGGUGAUCGGCCACACUGGAACUGAGGCACGGUCCAGACUCCUACGGGAGGCAGCAGUAGGGAAUCUUCCGCAAUGGGCGAAAGCCUGACGGAGCAACGCCGCGUGAGUGAUGAAGGUCUUCGGAUCGUAAAACUCUGUUAUUAGGGAAGAACAAAUGUGUAAGUAACUAUGCACGUCUUGACGGUACCUAAUCAGAAAGCCACGGCUAACUAAGUG